UACAGAGGGUGCAAGCGUUGCUCGGAUUUACUGGGCGUAAAGCGUACGCAGACGGCUUGGAAGGUCGGACGUGAAAGCCCCGGGCUCAACCCGGGAAAUGCGUCCGAAACCACCUUGCUUGAGUAUGGGAGAGGGAAGCGGAAUUCCUGGUGUAGAGGUGAAAUUCGUAGAUAUCAGGAGGAACAUCGGCGGCGAAGGCGGCUUCCUGGCCCAUUACUGACGUUCAGGUACGAAAGCGUGGGUAGCAAACAGG
rnacentral:rRNA from 1 species